rnacentral:tRNA from 1 species
GGUGCUGUGGCUUAGCAGGUAAAGCCACUGCCUACAGUGCUGGCAUCCUAUAUGGACAUGGGUUUGAAUCCCAGCUGCUUCA